AUUGAACGCUGGCGGCAGGCCUAACACAUGCAAGUCGGACGAGUGGCGGACGGGUGAGUAAUGUCUGGGAAACUGCCUGAUGGCGGGGGAUAACUACUGGAAACGGUAGCUAAUACCGCAUACCAUCAGAUGUACCCAGAUGGGAUUAGCUAGUAGGUGAGGUAACGGCUUACCAAGGCGACGAUCCCUAGCUGGUCUGAGAGGAUGACCAGCCACACUGGAACUUAGACACGGCCCAGACGCCUACGGGAGGCAGCAGUGGGGAAUAUUGCACAAUGGGCGCAAGCCUGAUGCAGCCAUGCCGCGUGUAUGAAGAAGGCCUUCGGGUUGUAAAGUACUUUCAGCGGGGAGGCGUUACCGGCAGAAGAAGCACCGGCUAACUCCGUGCCAGCAGCCGCGGUAAUAC
rnacentral:rRNA from 1 species